rnacentral:rRNA from 1 species
ACGUGAGAAUCUGCCCUUAGGAGGAGAAUAACUUCUGGAAACGGUUGCUAAGUCUCCAUAUGCCGAGAGGUAAAAUAGUUUACACUGCCUAGGGAUGAGCUCACGCCUGAUUAGCUUGUUGGUAAGGUAAUGGCUUACCAAGGCCACGAUCAGUAGCUGGUUUGAGAGAACGAUCAGCCACACUGGGACUGAGACACGGCCCAGACUCCUCCGGGAGGCAGCAGUGAGGAAUUUUCCGCAAUGGGCGAAAGCCUGACGGAGCAAUACCGCGUGAGGGAUGAAGGAUUUUGGUCUGUAAAC